CGCUGGCUGCGCGCCUAACACAUGCAAGUCGAGCGAGAAAGGGGGGCAACUCCUGAGUACAGCGGCGUACGGGUGAGUAACACGUGGGUAAUCUACCUCUUAGUGGGGAAUAACGCUAGGAAACCGGCGCUAAUACCGCAUAAGCCUGAGAAGGGAAAGCAGCAAUGCGCUGAAGGAGGAGCCCGCGGCCGAUUAGCUAGUUGGCAGGAUAAGAGCCUACCAAGGCUGAGAUCGGUAGCCGGCCUGAGAGGGCACACGGCCACACUGGCACUGAAACACGGGCCAGACUCCUACGGGAGGCAGCAGUGGG
rnacentral:sRNA from 1 species